rnacentral:rRNA from 1 species
GAUGAACGCUGGCGGCGUGCCUAAUACAUGCAAGUCGAGCGAACGGACGAGAAGCUUGCUUCUCUGAUGUUAGCGGCGGACGGGUAAGUAACACGUGGAUAACCUACCUAUAAGACUGGGAUAACUUCGGGAAACCGGAGCUAAUACCGGAUAAUAUUUUGAACCGCAUGGUUCAAAAGUGAAAGACGGUCUUGCUGUCACUUAUAGAUGGAUCCGCGCUGCAUUAGCUAGUUGGUAAGGUAACGGCUUACCAAGGCAACGAUGCAUAGCCGACCUGAGAGGGUGAUCGGCCACACUGGAACUGAGACACGGUCCAGACUCCUACGGGAGGCAGCAGUAGGGAAUCUUCGGCAAUGGGCGAAAGCCUGAUGGAGCAAUGCCGCGUGGGUGAUGAAGGUCUUCGGAUCGUAAAACUCUGUUAUUAGGGAAGAAAAUAUGUGUAAGUAAAUGUGGACAUCUUGACGGUACCUAAUCAGAAAGCCACGGCUAACUACGUG